GACGGGGGGGGCAAGCGUUGUUCGGAAUUACUGGGCGUAAAGGGCUCGUAGGCGGCCAACUAAGUCAGACGUGAAAUCCCUCGGCUUAACCGGGGAACUGCAUCUGAUACUGGAUGGCUUGAGAUUGGGAGAGGGAUGCGGAAUUCCAGGUGUAGCGGUGAAAUGCGUAGAUAUCCGGAGGAACACCGGUGGCGAAGGCGGCUUCCUGGACCGACACUGACGCUGAGGCGCGAAAGCUAGGGGAGCAAACGGG
rnacentral:rRNA from 1 species